rnacentral:lncRNA from 1 species
UCCUCUCUACAUCCAGCUCUCGAGCUUCUCUCUGUGCAGCUCCUCGAAGGAGAAAUCCUCGGCGACGGGCGGAAACAGGCCAUCCCUGCUGGGUCUCGAUUUGGUCUCCCAGCCGAGAAUCCCUGUGAAUGCCUCAUGAACAUCGUAAAGCACGGACUGACGGGUUGUUGGAACUUCCCUGCAAUGCCCAAUAUACUUCUUGUAAGCACACCAUAUAGGUGUGUCUGGAGGCUUUGCAAUGUCAUAGUCUUCCGGCCGCAUGUGAAUAAGCUUGCACUUCCGCU